GAUGAAGAACGUAGCGAAAUGCGAUAAGUAGUGUGAAUUGCAGAUUUCAGUGAAUCAUCGAAUCUUUGAACGCACAUUGCGCCCGUUAGUAUUCUGACGGGCAUGCCUGUCCGAGCGUCAUUUCAACCCUCAAGCACGGCUUGGUGUUGGCGGAUUGCGUGCCCUAGCGGCGCUGCACCCGCCCAAAUACAGUGGCGGUCCCGCUGCGGCUCCCUUUGCGUAGUAACUCACCUCGCACUGGACCGGGCGGCGGCUCGCCGUAAAACCCCAACUCACGAAAUGUUGACCUCGGAUCAGGUAGGAAUACCCGCUGAACUUAAGCAUAUCAAUAAGCGGAGGA
rnacentral:misc_RNA from 1 species